UGCAUUGCAUUCAUAUAGGUGAUCGGAUUCUUAUUGUUCUCAUCGAGUUCAACAGGAUCUCCGUCCCAGACCAAGAAAUCGUAGUAUCUAUCCGGUUGAUGCGAUACUCUAUCGGAUCUCCUUAAUGGUGCCUCUACAAUAUGUUACAAAUUUGAUAUCUUUAAAUCUAGUUCUGUGGAUUCACUAGACUGUGUUGGUUCUACCUAUUGAACUUCC
rnacentral:lncRNA from 1 species